rnacentral:rRNA from 1 species
AUGUCGGGUCUCUCUCCGUGCCGUCCACGAGCGACCCUCCGCGGCGACUUGGAUCGGCACGGCAGCUGCUCCCCUACGCGUCCUGACGCGGUGGCCGGCGCCUACUUAUACGCGCGCCCCGUCCCUGCUGCCACCGCACCUCUCGCAGCGACCAUGGACCUCCUCAGACCGCUCGCGCUCGCGGCCCUGUGCGCCCUGCUCGCCGCCGUCGCCGCGGCGGCGGCCACGGAGUCGGAGGUGGAGAUGGGGACGGCUGAGGCCCAGUCCUCCUACAUCGUGCACGUCGCGGCCGCCCACGCGCCACCGCUGCCGCGUCGCGGCCUGCUGACAACCCGCGCGUACGGCUCGUUCUUGCGGGAGCGCAUACCGGUGGAGAUGUCCAGCCCGGCGCCGAGCGUGCUCUACUCCUACGCGCACGCCGCCACGGGCUUCGCGGCGCGGCUCACGGGGCGCCAGGCCGCGCGCCUCGCGUCCUCGGGCUCCGUGCUCGCCGUCGUGCCCGACACGAUGCAGGAGCUGCACACCACGCUGACGCCGUCCUUCCUCGGCCUCUCGCCGUCCUCCGGGCUGCUCAAGGCGUCCAACGGGGCAACCGACGUCGUCAUCGGGGUCAUCGACACCGGCGUGUACCCCGAAGGACGCCCGUCCUUCGCGGCCGACGCGUCGCUGCCGCCCCCGCCGAGCAAGUUCCGUGGCAGGUGCGUCUCGGGUCCGUCGUUCAACGGCUCCGCGCUCUGCAACAACAAGCUCGUGGGCGCCAAGUUCUUCCAGCGGGGGCAGGAGGCUCUACGCGGCCGUGCGCUCGGCGCGGACUCGAAGUCGCCGCUCGACACCAACGGCCACGGCACCCACACCUCCUCCACCGCCGGUGGCUCUCCUGUCGCGGGCGCCGGCUUCUUCGACUAUGCCAGAGGAAAAGCCGUCGGCAUGGCCCCGGGCGCGCGCAUUGCCGUCUAUAAAGCGUGCGGGGAGGAAGGGUGCGCGAGCUCUGACAUCCUCGCCGCGUUUGAUGAGGCCAUUGCGGACAAUGUCGACGUUCUCUCUGUCUCCCUCGGCGCCGUCGGCACGGCCCCGAACUUUUAUAGUGAUAACACCGCCGUGGGCGCGUUCCGCGCCGUCAGCAAGGGCAUCGUCGUCUCGGCCUCCGCGGGAAACUCCGGCCCCGGAGAUUCCACCGCAUGCAACAUAGCGCCAUGGUUCUUGACGGUCGGCGCAUCCACACUCAACCGCCAAUUCCCGGGCGACGUCGUUCUCGGCAACGGCGAGACCUUCACGGGCACGACUCUUUACGCCGGCGAGCCGCUCGGCGCGAACAAGAUACCACUGGUCUACGGAGGGGACGUGGGCUCCAAAGUGUGCGAAGAGGGGAAGUUGAACGCCACCAAGGUCGCUGGGAAGAUUGUUUUGUGCGAGUCGGGUGUAAAUGCCCGAGCAGCGAAACCACUUGCCGUCAAGCUCGCCGGUGGCGCCGGAGCGAUCCUCGCCAGCACAAAAUCAUUCGGUGAGCAGUCCAUCACCAGCCCGCAUGUCCACCCCGCCACGGCUGUGUCAUUUGUCGACGCCGAGAAGAUCUUCAAGUACAUACGCGCGCAAACAUCCCCUACCGCGACGAUCAUCUUCCGCGGCACCGUGGUCGGCCCGACGCCUCCUUCCCCUAGAAUGGCGGCCUUCUCGAGCCGCGGGCCGAACUUCCGUGCGCCGGAGAUCUUCAAGCCGGACGUGACUGCGCCCGGCGUGGACAUCCUCGCCGCUUGGACAGGCGCCAACUCGCCCACAGAGCUCGACAGCGACACGAGGCGGGUGAAGUACAACAUCAUAUCGGGCACGUCCAUGUCAUGCCCGCACGUGAGCGGCAUCGCCGCGCUGCUCCGGCAGGCGAGGCCAGAGUGGAGCCCGGCGGCGAUCAAGUCCGCGCUCAUGACCACCGCGUACAACGCGGACAGCUCCGGCGGCGUCAUUGGUGACAUGUCCACCAGCGACGCGUCCACGCCGUUCGCGCGAGGGGCCGGGCACAUCGACCCCAACAGGGCCGUCGACCCAGGCCUCGUCUACGACGCCGGCACGGAGGACUACAUCACCUUCCUGUGCGCGCUGGGCUACACCGCCAAGCAGGUCGCCGUCUUCGGCUCGUCCAUCAGUUGUUCGAAGCGCGCGGGCUCCGUGGGCGACCACAACUACCCGGCCUUCUCGGUGGUGUUCACCUCCAACAAAGUGGCGGCCGUCACGCAACGCCGCGUCGUGCGCAACGUCGGCAGCGACACCGCGGCUGCCUAUACGGCCAAGGUCACCGCCCCGGACGGCGUGCGCGUCACGGUGAGCCCUGAGACGCUGCGGUUCAGCUCGACGGAGAAAACGCAGGAGUACGUGGUCACAUUUGCGCAACGGACCACCGGUAGUGUCACGGAGAAGUACACGUUCGGGUCGAUUGAGUGGAGCGACGGCGAGCACUCGGUGACGAGCCCCAUCGCCAUCACCUGGCCGACGAGCAAGGUUGCGGAGAUGUGA